GAAGCUCAGUGGCAGAGCAGCUACUUCGCAUGCAGAAGGUCAGGGGUUCAAUUCUUCGCAUCUCCA